rnacentral:rRNA from 1 species
CAAUAGCGUAUAUUAAAGUUGUUGCAGUUAAAAAGCUCGUAGUUGGAUUUGUGGCGUACGGUGUGUUCCGGGCACUUGUUGUCUGAGUAACCUGCUGUUGCCAUCCUUGGGUGGAACCUGUGUGGCAUUAGGUUGUCGUGCAGGGGAUGCCCAUCAUUUACUGUGAAAAAAUUAGAGUGUUCAAAACAGGCUUAUGCCGUUGAAUAUAUUAGCAUGGAAUAAUGAGAUAGGACUUUUUUGCUAUUUUGUUGGUUUGCGCAAAGAGGUAAUGAUUAAUAGGGACAGUUGGGGGUAUUCGUAUUCCAUUGUCAGAGGUGAAAUUCUUGGAUUUUUGGAAGACGAACUACUGCGAAAGCAUUUACCAAGGAUGUUUUCAUUAA